GAUGAACGCUGGCGGCGUGCCUAAUACAUGCAAGUCGAGCGAACAGACGAGGAGCUUGCUCCUCUGACGUUAGCGGCGGAAGGGUGAGUAACACGUGGAUACCCUACCUAUAAGACUGGGAUAACUUCGGGAAAUCGUAGCUCAUACCGGAUAAUAUAUUGAACCGCAUGGUUCAAUAGUGCAAGACAGUUUUGCUGUCGCUUUUAGAUUGAUUAGCACCGGAUUAGCUAGUUGGUGAGGUAACGGCUUACCAAGGCAACGAAGCGUAGCCGACCUGAGAGGGUGAUCGGCCACACUGGAACUGAGACACGGUCCAGACUCCUACGGGAGGCAGCAGUAGGGAAUCUUCCACAAUGGGCGAAAGCCUGACGGAGCAACGCCGCGUGAAUGAUGAAGGUCUUCGGAUCGUAAAACUCUGUUAUUAGGGAAGAACAAAUGUUUAAGUAACUAUGCACGUCUUGACGGUACCGUAACAGAAAGCCACGGCUAACUACGUG
rnacentral:rRNA from 1 species